rnacentral:rRNA from 1 species
AGUGAACGCUGGCGGUAUGCCUAACACAUGCAAGUCGAACGGCAGCACAGUAAGAGCUUGCUCUUACGGGUGGCGAGUGGCGGACGGGUGAGGAAUACAUCGGAAUCUACUUUUUCGUGGGUGAUAACGUAGAGAAACUUACGCUAAUACCGCAUACGACCUACGGGUUAAAGCAGUGGAUCUUCGGGCCUUUCGCGAUUGAAUGAGCCGAUGUCGGAUUAGCUAGUUGGCGGGGUAAAGGCUCACCAAGGCGACGAUCCGUAGCUGGUCUGAGAGGAUGAUCAGCCACACUGGAACUGAGACACGGUCCAGACUCCUACGGGAGGCAGCAGUGGGGAAUAUUGGACAAUGGGCGAAAGCCUGAUGCAGCAACACCGCGUGGGUGAAGAAGGCCUUCGGAUUGUAAAGCUCUUUUGUUGGGAAAGAAAAGCAGCAGGUUAAUACACCGAUGUUCUGACGGUACCCAAAGAAUAAGCACCGGCUAACUUCGUG